AUUGAACGCUGGCGGUAGGCCUAACACAUGCAAGUCGAACGGCAGCACAGUAAGAGCUUGCUCUUACGGGUGGCGAGUGGCGGACGGGUGAGGAAUACAUCGGAAUCUACUUUUUCGUGGGGGAUAACGUAGGGAAACUUACGCUAAUACCGCAUACGACCUACGGGUGAAAGCAGGGGAUCUUCCGACCUUGCGCGAUUGAAUGAGCCGAUGUCGGAUUAGCUAGUUGGCGGGGUAAAGGCCCACCAAGGCGACGAUCCGUAGCUGGUCUGAGAGGAUGAUCAGUCACACUGGAACUGAGACACGGUCCAGACUCCUACGGGAGGCAGCAGUGGGGAAUAUUGGACAAUGGGCGCAAGCCUGAUCCAGCCAUACCGCGUGGGUGAAGAAGGCCUUCGGGUUGUAAAGCCCUUUUGUUGGGAAAGAAAAGCAGCAGGUUAAUACCCCGCUGUUCUGACGGUACCAAAAGAAUAAGCACCGGCUAACUUCGUG
rnacentral:rRNA from 1 species